rnacentral:rRNA from 1 species
GGGGAAUAUUGCGCAAUGGGGGCAACCCUGACGCAGCCAUGCCGCGUGAAUGAAGAAGGCCUUCGGGUCGUAAAGUUCUUUCGGUAGCGAGGAAGGCAUUUAGUUUAAUAGACUAAGUGAUUGACGUUAACUACAGAAGAAGCACCGGCUAACUCCGUGCCAGCAGCCGCGGUAAUACGGAGGGUGCGAGCGUUAAUCGGAAUAACUGGGCGUAAAGGGCACGCAGGCGGUGACUUAAGUGAGGUGUGAAAGCCCCGGGCUUAACCUGGGAAUUGCAUUUCAUACUGGGUCGCUAGAGUACUUUAGGGAGGGGUAGAAUUCCACGUGUAGCGGUGAAAUGCGUAGAGAUGUGGAGGAAUACCGAAGGCGAAGGCAGCCCCUUGGGAAUGUACUGACGCUCAUGUGCGAAAGCGUGGGGAGCAAACAGGAUUAGAUACCCUGGUAGUCCACGCUGUAAACGAUGUCGAUUUGGGGGUUGAACUUUAGGUUUGGCGCCCGUAGCUAACGUGAUAAAUCGACCGCCUGGGGAGUACGGCCGCAAGGUUA